rnacentral:rRNA from 1 species
GUGCACCAGUCGAGAAUUUUUCUCAAUGGGGCAACCCUGAAGGAGCGACGCCGCGUGGAGGACUGAAGGCUUUCGGGUUGUAAACUCCUGUCAUUUGGGAACAAGUUGCGAGUAUUAACCGUGCUCCGUAUUGAUAGUACCAGAAGAGGAAGGGACGGCUAACUCUGUGCCAGCAGCCGCGGUAAUACAGAGGUCCCAAGCGUUGUUCGGAUUCAUUGGGCGUAAACGGGUGCGUAGGUGGCGCUGUAAGUCGGGUGUGAAAUUUCGGAGCUUAAACUCCGAAACUGACAUUCGAUACUGCGGUGCUUGAGGACUGGAGAGGAGACUGGAAUUCAUGGUGUAGCAGUGAAAUGCGUAGAGAUCAUGAGGAAGACCCAGUGGCGAAGGCGGGUCUCUGGACAGUUCCUGACACUGAGGCACGAAGGCCAGGGAGCAAACGGGAUUAGAUACCCCUGUAGU